GCGGGAUUAGCAAAAUGGUUAUGCUCCAGCUUCCCAAGCUGGCCACGCCGGUUCGAUUCCGGUAUCCCGCUCCA
rnacentral:tRNA from 1 species